UGGGGAAUUUUGGACAAUGGGCGCAAGCCUGAUCCAGCCAUGCCGCGUGCGGGAGGAAGGCCUUCGGGUUGUAAACCGCUUUUGUCAGGGAAGAAAUCUUCUGAGUUAAUACCUCGGGAGGAUGACGGUACCUGAAGAAUAAGCACCGGCUAACUACGUGCCAGCAGCCGCGGUAAUACGUAGGGUGCAAGCGUUAAUCGGAAUUACUGGGCGUAAAGCGUGCGCAGGCGGUUUUGUAAGACAGAGGUGAAAUCCCCGGGCUCAACCUGGGAACUGCCUUUGUGACUGCAAGGCUUGAGUGCGGCAGAGGGGGAUGGAAUUCCGCGUGUAGCAGUGAAAUGCGUAGAUAUGCGGAGGAACACCGAUGGCGAAGGCAAUCCCCUGGGCCUGCACUGACGCUCAUGCACGAAAGCGUGGGGAGCAAACAGGAUUAGAUAGCCCUGGUAGUCCACGCCCUAAACGAUGUCAACUGGUUGUUGGGAAGGUUCCUUCUCAGUAACGUAGCUAACGCGUGAAGUUGACCGCCUGGGGAGUACGGCCGCAAGGUUG
rnacentral:rRNA from 1 species